GACGAACGCUGGCGGCGUGCUUAAUUCAUGCAAAACGAACGAUGAAGCCCUUCGGGGUGGAUUAGUGGCGAACGGGUGAGUAACACGUGGGCAAUCUGCCCUUCACUCUGGGACAAGCCCUGGAAACGGGGUCUAAUACCGGAUAACACUCUCCCCCGCAUGGGACGGGGUUGAAAGCUCCGGCGGUGAAGGAUGAGCCCGCGGCCUAUCAGCUUGUUGGUGGGGUAAUGGCCUACCAAGGCGAAUACGGGUAGCCGGCCUGAGAGGGCGACCGGCCACACUGGGACUGAGACACCCCCCAGACUCCUACGGGAGGCAGCAGUGGGCCAUAUUGCACAAUGGGCGAAAGCCUGAUGCAGCGACGCCGCGUGAGGGAUGACGGCCUUCGGGUUGUAAACCUCUUUCAGCAGGGAAGAAGCGAAAGUGACGGUACCUGCAGAAGAAGCGCCGGCUAACUACGUGCCAGCAGCCGCGGUAAUACGUAGGGCGCAAGCGUUGUCCGGAUUUAUUGGGCGUUCGGAGCUCGUAGGCGGCUUGUCACGUCGGAUGUGAAAGCCCGGGGCUUAACCCCGGGUCUGCAUUCGAUACGGGCUAGCUAGAGUGUGGUAGGGGAGAUCGGAAUUCCUGGUGUAGCGGUGAAAUGCGCAGAUAUCAGGAGGAACACCGGUGGCGAAGGCGGAUCUCUGGGCCAUUACUGACGCUGAGGAGCGAAAGCGUGGGGAGCGAACAGGAUUAGAUACCGGGGUAGUCCACGCCGUAAACGUUGGGAACUAGGUGUUGGCGACAUUCCACGUCGUCGGUGCCGCAGCUAACGCAUUAAGUUCCCCGGCUGGGGAGUACGGCUUUAAGGCUAAAACUCAAAGGAAUUGACGGGGGCCCGCACAAGCAGCGGAGCAUGUGGCUUAAUUCGACGCAACGCGAAAAACCUUACCAAGGCUUGACAUGUACCGGAAAGCAUCAGAGAUGGUGCCCCCCUUGUGGUCGGUAUACAGGUGGUGCAUGGCUGUCGUCAGCUCGUGUCGUGAGAUGUUGGGUUAAGUCCCGCAACGAGAACAACCCAAAUUCUGUGUUGCCAGCAUGCCCAAACGGGGUGAUGGGGACUCACAGGAGACUGCCGGGGUCAACUCGGAGGAAGGUGGGGACGACGUCAAGUCAUCAUGCCCCUUAUGUCUUGGGCUGCACACGUGCUACAAUGGCCGGUACAAUGAGCUGCGAUGCCGCGAGGCGGCCCGAAUCUCAAAAAGCCGGUCUCAGUUCGGAUUGGGGUCUGCAACUCGACCCCAUGAAGUCGGAGUUGCUAGUAAUCGCAGAUCAGCAUUGCUGCGGUGAAUACGUUCCCGGGCCUUGUACACACCGCCCGUGCCCCCACGAAAGUCGGUAACACCCGAAGCCGGUGGCCCAACCCCAAGUGGGAGGGAGCUGUCGAAGGUGGGACUGGCGAUUGGGACGAAGUCGUAACAAGGUAGCCGUACCGCUAGGUGCGCGGC
rnacentral:rRNA from 1 species